rnacentral:rRNA from 1 species
UUCUUGAGUAUGGAUGAAGCAGGCGGAAUGCGUGGUGUAGCGGUGAAAUGCUUAGAGAUCACGCAGAACUCCGAUUGCGAAGGCAGCUUGCUAAGGCAUAACUGACGCUGAGGCACGAAAGCGUGGGUAUCAAACAGGAUUAGAUACCCUGGUAGUCCACGCAGUAAACGAUGAUUACUAGGUGUUUGCGAUAGACAGUAAGCUCUACAGCGAAAGCGUUAAGUAAUCCACCUGGGGAGUACGCCGGCAACGGUGAAACUCAAAGGAAUUGACGGGGGCCCGCACAAGCGGAGGAACAUGUGGUUUAAUUCGAUGAUACGCGAGGAACCUUACCCGGGAUUGAAA